UUUUCCGUUUGCACCAGACAAGCUGGGCAGGAAGUUAGGGUCUUUCUAUCGACCGAGAGUCGGCUGGAUCGAGUGCUUUAGGGUUGUCCUGAUGUCGGGUGUAGCUUGUCAAUCAUUUUAAAGCAUGGAAGCACUCACUGACGUCAAUGAGAACAGACCACUGGUCAGUGUCCACGACUCCUCUUGAUCUUUGUGGCUGUGAGCAAGCCUCCUGUUCCUGAGAAGUUAAAGAAUCCCAUGUUGGCUGUUCCGCCCACAACCCAGAGGCCCAAGAGGAGCGCCUCUCCCUCUGCAGACAGGACCCACCAGAGAGAGAGCCUUGGAACCACCAAGAGUCUUCCUAGAGCUGGCCACCCGGCCAAACUGACCAAUCGGGGGAGAACGGCCUUGGUCAGGGAAGUGACCAAGAAC